AAAUUUUGAGUUACAGUAUCAUUCGAAGAGAAUUUAUUUCUGCCUUUCAUGUUAUAGCCCCUAAGGGAUCCAGGACCCGAAAGGCCAGCUUCUCCCUCAUUUUGAAAUCAGUUUUCUCCACCUGCACCACUGCAUAGCACAGAUACAGAAACCAUCCUAUUUCAGGAUUUGAAUGCAAAACUUACCUUCUUACUCUAAAGAUGAAUGAUCAGGGAGAGAUUUAUUCAACCCUGAGAUUUUUGCAGUCUCCUUCAGAGUCACAGAAUAGAUUAAGGCCUGAUGAUACUCAAAGGCCUGGGAAAACUGAUGACAAAGGCAAAUUCUCUGAAGACCACGGGUCCUGUUGUGGAGUAAACUGUUAUUAUUUUACCAUGCAGAAGAAAGACUGGAAGGGAUGUAAACAGACUUGUCAACAUUGUAGAUCAUCCCUUUUGAAGAUAGAUGACAAAGAUGAACUCGUAUUUUACAUUCACUUUUAUUCUCUUGGACUCUGUUUCUCAAUGUUGGACCUAAGAUAUUGAAGACAGGCUGGAGCCCAGAGCCUUCAUUCAAUCUCAGAUUUAUGAAAAUAAUUACUGGAUUGGAUUAUCAUAUGAUGAAAGGGAAAGUAAGUGGAAAUGGAUUGAUAAUGGCACAUCUCCUGGAAUUAAUUCUACAAUAAUGCGUUUUUCUUCUGGGAGAGGAGAAUGUGCAUUUUUGACCUCAACAAGAAUGGCAACUAUUGAUUGCAUUCAAACGUACAAUUGUAUCUGUGGGAAGAGAAUAGACUCUAUUUUCUCUGAUUCGGUGUGCGCCAAGAAGAAAAGGUGAAAAUGGAAUGUUUUCUUUUUUUGUUUCCCAUAAUAAUUUCUGAUUAUAAAUCAUUGCUUUUAACUGUGGGACUUAGUUAAUUCUUCAAAAGAUAAAGAUGAACAGGAAGAAAAAGAAAAUUAUUUUGGACUAUGACUUUAAAGAUCAGAUGCCAUCUUUCUUCCUGGAGAAGAGGAGAUUUUCUCUUUUGAGAGUGGUUGUUCCUUCCUUUAAUGUCCCUGAGGAAUUAUUCAUUCUUUCUAAUUCUCAGAACUACCUAUACAACCAGUUAGAGAACUCUGAUAUUAUAUCCUGGGUCUUUUUUCUUAUCAAUAGGAUAAAUCAUUCCAGCAUCUUCUGGUUUUGAAAGCAGUUGUGAACUAGAAUGUAGUUAUUUUUUUCUUCCCAUCUAGAAGUUACCUCAUCUUUUAAAACAUUUGUUUUGCUACAAAAUAUAACUUCAAACUUACUGAAAGUUGCAAGCAUAGUACAAGGAACUUCUAUAUAACCUUUACUCAUACUUACUAGUUGUUUAUAUUUUGCUCUGCUUUAUAUUUCUCUCUUUCUAUCUUCCACUUAAUAAUAAAUUGAGGACUUCAUGUCCCUUUGUCUAAAUAUUUU
rnacentral:lncRNA from 1 species